rnacentral:rRNA from 1 species
AUUGAACGCUGGCGGCAGGCCUAACACAUGCAAGUCGAGCGAGCGGCGGACGGUUGAGUAAUGUAUGGGGACUGCCCGAUAGAGGCGGAUACCUACUGGAAACGGUGGCUAAUACCCCAUACUGUCGGAUUACCCCUAUGGGCUUAGCUAGUAGGUAAGGUAAUGGCUUACCUAGGCGACGAUCCCUAGCUGGUCUGCGAGGAUGAUCAGCAACACUGGGACUGAGACACGGCCGAGACUCCUACGGAGGCAGCGGUGGGGAAGAUUGCACAAGGGGCGAAAGCCUGAUGCAGCCAUGCGGCGUGUAUGAAGAAGGCCCUAGGGUUGUAAAGUACUUUCAGUCGGGAGGCGGUAAGGAAAGAAGAAGCACCGGCUAACUCCGUGCCAGCAGCCGCGGUAAUUG